rnacentral:rRNA from 1 species
UCUGGUUGAUCCUGCCGGAGGCUACCGCUAUUGGAGUUCGAUUAAGCCAUGCGAGUCGAGAGUCUUAGGGACUCGGCGUACCGCUCAGUAACACGUGGGUAACCUGCCCUAUGCUGGGGAAUAACCUCGGGAAACUGAGAAUAAUACCCCAUAGUUCACCACGCCUGGAACGGUGGGUGGAUGAAAGCUCCGGCGGCAUAGGAUGGGCCUGCGACGUAUCAGGUUGUAGGGGGUGUAACGUACCCUCUAGCCAUCAACGCGUACGGGUGUUGGGAGACAUAGCCCGGAGAUGGAUUCUGAGACACGAAUCCAGACCCUACGGGGUGCAGCAGGCGCGAAAACUUGGCAAUGCGAGCAAUCGUGACCAGGGAACUCCAAGUGGCUGGGGUAAUACCCAGUUUUUUCUUGACUCUUCAAAGGUCUUGGAAUAAGGGGUGGGUAAGGACGGUGCCAGCCGCCGCGGUAAUACCGGCGCCUCAAGUGGUAGUCGCUUUUAUUGGGCCUAAAACGUCCGUAGCCGGUCUGGUGCAUUCGUGGGUAAAUCAACCCGCUCAACGGGUUGAAUUCUGCGAGCACGGCCAGACUUGGGACCGGGAGAGGUGUGGGGUACUCUCAGGGUAGGGGUAAAAUCCUGUCAUCCUGAGAGGACCACCUGUUGCGAAGGCGCCACACUAGAACGGAUUCGACGGUCAGGGACGAAACCUAGGGGCACGAACCGGAUUAGAUACCCGGGUAG